CCUACGCGGGGCUGCAGUGGGGAAUAUUGCACAAUGGGCGCAAGCCUGAUGCAGCCAUGCCGCGUGUGUGAAGAAGGCCUUCGGGUUGUAAAGCACUUUCAGCGGGGAGGAAGGCGGUGAGGUUAAUAACCUCAUCGAUUGACGUUACCCGCAGAAGAAGCACCGGCUAACUCCGUGCCAGCAGCCGCGGUAAUACGGAGGGUGCAAGCGUUAAUCGGAAUUACUGGGCGUAAAGCGCACGCAGGCGGUCUGUCAAGUCGGAUGUGAAAUCCCCGGGCUCAACCUGGGAACUGCAUUCGAAACUGGCAGGCUAGAGUCUUGUAGAGGGGGGUAGAAUUCCAGGUGUAGCGGUGAAAUGCGUAGAGAUCUGGAGGAAUACCGGUGGCGAAGGCGGCCCCCUGGACAAAGACUGACGCUCAGGUGCGAAAGCGUGGGGGGCAAACAGGAUUAGAUACCCGGGUAGUC
rnacentral:rRNA from 1 species